GACGAACGCUGGCGGCGUGCUUAACACAUGCAAGUCGAACGGAAAGGCCCUACUUGUGUGGGGUUCUCGAGUGGCGAACGGGUGAGUAACACGUGAGUAACCUGCCCUUGACUUUGGGAUAACUUCAGGAAACGGGGGCUAAUACCGUAUAGGAUCUCCUGCUGCGUUGUGGGGGGUGGAAAUUUUCGGCGGUUGGGGAUGGACUCGCGGCUUAUCAGCUUGUUGGUGGGGUAGUGGUUUACCAAGGCUUUGACGGGUAGCCGGCAUGAGAGGGUGACCGGCCACAUUGGGCCUGAGAUACGGCCCAGAUUCCUACGGGAGGCAGCAGUGGGGAAUAUUGAACAAUGGGCGGAAGCCGGAGGCAGAAACGCCGCGUGCGGGAUGACGGCCUUCGGGUUGUAAACCGCUUUCGCCUGUGACGAAGCGUGAGUGACGGUAAUGGGUAAAGAAGCACCGGCUAACUACGUG
rnacentral:rRNA from 1 species